CGCCAGAUGCUGCGAAAUUGCAAGUGCUUUUUAGCAGGCUUCCCAACAUGUUCAACGUCGUAAUCUUCUCUCCCCACGGCUACUUUGGGCAGGCAGAUGUUCUUGGAUUGCCAGAUACAGGAGGCCAGGUACAUAACUGCAUAUUUCAAAACACAUUAUCAUAGUCGUUCAUGAAAAUUUUGUGGAAUGACAUCCUGGACUGAUAUCUUUCUAUAUGCUGAAAUAAUGUAAACAGGUGGUUUACAUUCUUGAUCAAGUAAGAGCUUUAGAGGAAGAAUUGCUCCUCAGGAUCAAGCAGCAAGGACUUAGUGUGAAGCCUCAGAUUCUAGUGGUCAGCAAAACUCUACAACAAUCAUUCAAUCCGAAGAUGAUUUACAAAAAAAUAAGCAUUACACCAAAAACUAAUGCAUUUUCACUUACUCUUUAGUUUUACAUAUGUGCAGGUAACACGUCUAAUUCCAAACUCAAAAGGAACAAAGUGCAACCAGGAAUUGGAGCCUAUUUAUGAUACCAAGCACUCUCACAUUCUCAGGAUCCCAUUUAAGACAGAGCAAGCAAUUCUCCCACAAUGGGUUUCCCGUUUCGAUAUCUAUCCUUACCUUGGCAGAUUUGCACAGGCAUAUUCCUCACUCGCCUCAAACAUUCAUCUUCUUCUGCUUAUUUUUCCCCUCAAUACUUCAUACUUAUUUUUAAAUCUCUGUUUUAUCGAAUCAGGAUGCCACGGCUAAGAUCCUUGACCUCAUGGAAGGCAAACCAGACCUUAUAAUUGGGAACUACAGUGAUGGAAACUUGGUGGCAUCUCUAAUGGCUUCAAAACUUGGAAUAACGCAGGUCAAAACCGUUAUCUCUGACAGUUUCAACAACAUUCUGAAAAUCACUCACUUUCAAUUGUAUGACAUAUGUUCAUCUUUUGCUUCCACAAAAUCCAGGCAACUAUUGCACAUGCUUUAGAAAAAUCAAAAUAUGAAGAUUCAGAUGCCAAAUGGAAGGAAUUAGAUCCAAAGUACCAUUUUUCAUGUCAAUUCACAGCUGACUUAAUUGCAAUGAAUCAAACUGAUUUUAUCAUAACCAGCACAUACCAAGAAAUUGCUGGAAGGUUAGUCUGCUACAUAACCUCAUAUACCCCAGAACGGAUCAGUAAUUGCUUGAAAUAUUAACUGGUUUUUUCUUUUCUCAGUAAGGAUAGGCCAGGACAGUAUGAAAGCCAUACUGCCUUCACAAUGCCAGGACUUUGUCGGGUUGUUUCAGGCAUCAAUGUCUUUGAUCCAAAGUUCAACAUAGCUGCCCCUGGGGCUGAUCAAUCUGUCUACUUUCCCUACACUGAGAAACAAAAACGGCUAACCUCAUUUCAUCCUGACAUUGAGGAACUACUCUACAGCAAAGAGGAUAACAGUGAGCACAUGUAAGUCUCCCAGUUUGUUUCAUCUCAUGCAUAACACUAAUAAUACCAGAAAAGAAGCUUAAAAUGCUUACUGUUGAAACUAACAAUGUCUGGGACAGUGGAUAUCUGGCAGACAGGAAGAAACCAAUAAUCUUCUCAAUGGCAAGACUUGAUACUGUGAAAAACAUUACAGGACUGACCGAAUGGUA
rnacentral:lncRNA from 1 species